AAAGACCAAAUUCUUCGGUUUUCGUGUUCAACGUUUGACCGUCCGUCUUAUAUGAAUUUUUUUAUGAUUAGUAUUUUUAUUAUUGUUAGAUGAUAAAAUAUGAAUAAUACUUUAUGCAUGACUUAUCUUUUUAAAUUUUUUCAUAAUUUUUUCAAAUAAGACGAACGGUCAAACGUUAGACACGGAAACCCAUGAAUUGAGUUUUU
rnacentral:pre_miRNA from 1 species